AAAAUGGCCGUCACGACAAUUUGUGUUUUUGCAUCUGAAAAAAAUGUGAUUAGACCACUAUGGUGAGUGUUGCUGUGGUAAAAAUAUAUAUUUUUAUUCAGGGCGUUUAACAUACAAGCUAAAGACGGAAGGAUAAAACUUCCAGGCGCUUUGAAAGAAGGGUUUCGACAAUGUGUUUAUCUGUAUUUCAGUCAGAUGACAUUUCCAUCAUUAUGCUAAUAAUUUAUUUACCAAUGUUUUAUGCAGUAAAAUAUAUAUUUCAAAUGUCUGCUUGUGGUUAAUUAAAUGUUUUUGCUGAUGUUUGGAACGAAAGAAAACAGAAAAAUAAUCAUUUCAUCCCGUUUUUAUUGCUUUAGCAACAAUGAUAACAAUCGCGCCAUUUAAAAAUUAUCAAUAUUAUUCACAGAAAAUUGAUAAAAAGUCUGGUGUUCAGAAAAUUUGUGCAAUUUUUUUUUUCAUUGUAUUGUUAACUGAUAAUAAUUAUACGAAACAGGUAGAUCUUAUUAUGUCUUUUCGUGAAUAUUCUCCUUGUAUCAUGAUCUAUCAAUAACCAUGCUACAUUUGACUCGCCCUGUGUUAUCUUUCGCCCCACUUUUGUAACAAACGACACUGAUUUACGGAUUAAAGUAGACCAGAUUGCGAUGAUUGUCAACAAGUGUACCUCUUCAAAAGAAAUAAAUGAAUCGUAUAACCCCAGAAUGAAUUUUAAGAAAUGUUAUAUUUAAUCCUGUAUUUAUGUAUGCCGUGGUACAUGAUUGUUAAAAAACAUCUUUGUUUACUUGUGUCUGCAUCUGUAAGAUCAACAAGUUGCAAACGAACUAGCAGUUCUGAACCUAGUGUUAAAAAUAUGAAUUUCUAUAGGUAAUCAGUGGUGGAUCCAGAAAUUUUCAUACGAGGAGCCCACUGACUGCAUAAGAGGGGACCAAAUCCAGUUAUACUUCGGUGAUUCUCAAAAAUUAUCAAAUUUUUCAAACAAAACGAGCCAGCCCCUCCCCCUCCCGCUGAAAACCCCUCUAAAGUAGGCUUGCUAUACGCCAAAAAAACAAACAGUGAACCACUUCAAGUAGAAAAGCCCUAAAACAUAUUCUAGCUAAUGACUGCAAAUUUCUUUUUGCUGAAGGAUUGAUUAGAAAAAAUUUGGAAAUGAUGACUGCUACCUACUUACAUUUCAUUACUCUCCCUUUCUGGUGUUUUCCCCCGUUUUUUGGGGGGGUGGGGGGGGGGGGGGGGAUGAGUGUAUAUAUCGGAUAUAUAGAUUUCCGACUGCUGCUGCAAAAUCUAUGAAGUAUUUUUUGUUUGUUUCCUAUUUUGUUCAUUUUUUAUGCCUGAAUUAUUGGUAGAACCGCGGUCAAUUUCGAGCAUUUCUAGACAAUGCUUACGAAGCUUCAUAUAUAUAUGCAAAUCUAAGGUUUUAUAAAAUUGCUGCAUCCAGAAUAUGAAAAUUGUUAUAUAAGAAGAGAUAAAUUUUAUUUCCAAAUAGGUCCCCAGAGGGCAUAUACACAUAACAUAUAUAAUUGAUACCAUACAGUAUUUUUACAUAACAUUGUAAAAUAACCUAUUGAAAUAGUCAUACAGUUAUUUGUUAAUAAAAAAGUAUUUGAGAGUUGCUACUCCAGAGAUGUGGCAAACCCCAUUUAUUUAUUUUACUUGAUUUAUAAUAUUUUGCUGAAAAUGUAAAAUUUAAAAUAAAAUGAUUGUUAGCCUGCAACAGACACCAAGGGACGAUGCUCUAGGAUUGCGAUCUUAAAAGCUCUAACAAUCCUCCUCGUAUCUGAUGCAAAAAAACAAACACAAAUGGAAAAAGUUCAUUUAUAUUCACAUCAAAUAACAUGUACUGCAGUAAAUAGGUAUUGGAAUAGUUAGGUUUUCCCUACUGCAACAGACACCAAGGGGCGGUACUCAGAGCUGUGGUGUUUACACAGUCCUCUCGUGUCUGAAGCAGACAAAAGCCACAUCAUUUAACAAUUUUUCGAAAUAAAUUUACAUGCAGCAGUGAGAAUAGAUAUCUUCUGUGUUCAUAAGACAUAUCAAUUUAUCUCUUGGUUAAGAGUUAAAAAAUUGGGGCAACUUUUAGUUAUCUCUUGAAAUAGAUGAUUACGGUCAUCAUUAAAUUUAACACAUUGGAAUAAAAAAUGAUAUUCAUAUAUGAAAUAACAACACAUUUGUUGAUCAUAAUCUGUUCUUUUAUUAUUAUUAUAGUACACAAUUUAAAGACAAAAAUCUACCAUUCCCCGAAAAAAUCAUCGCUGAAAUGUUAAUGAAAAUCCAUCGUUUAUUUCGAGAUCACACAAUAACCAAAAAAUUGGACGAUAUGAAUGUUGAGCGUUUUAGCAGAAUCUAUGUGUAAGUCAACAAGAAAUGUAAAACAGAAUUAAAACUAAGCAGGUUUUUCCUUAUUAUGUUUUAUUAAUUCAUUUGAUUAUCUAUGUUUUUAAUAACUUUCUGUUCGGAUGAACAAUUUUUUUGUUAUGUUUUCGUUGUUGUGUAUUCUCCUUGUCUAUGACGUCGUCGUUUAUGAAACAUCAGCUGUGACAAACUUAUGACAGAUCGUAAAGCAGCACAACGUCUCGAAAACAUUUCGCUAUGUACCUAUCAGAAUAAAUUGGUGUCUUUGAGUUGGGAUUUAUUUCGGUCGAUCGAUUUAUUAAUAAUAUGAAAGGAGUAGUCCGGUAAGGGCCCAUUUUGGCGUCAAAUUUCAGGUUCAUCUGAUGUGUCUACAUCAAUCGAUACUGAUUUAGUCAUUUCAGACGCUCAUAUUCAAGCUUAAAUAUGAAAAAUCUAUCAACCAUGCCAUAAUAUGCCACUUUUCAGAUAGUUUUUUUUCAAAAAUGAAAUAUAAAGAAUGAACACGAAUACGGUCACUUCCAUUUAAGACAAAUGCUAAAAUUGUGAAGAUUUCAUUAAUUUAGCAUGUCUUCAUGAUGCUAGUACCAGAUAUAUGCGCAUUGUGUUGUAAAAAACAGCCCAUAUUUAUGUAGCAGAAGUAUUAUACUUUCCAAUCAAUAGCUAAAAGUUUACAUUAUAACAAUUUUGUAAAACUGAUAUAUUUUGGGGCCAAAAAGAGGUCUUACUGAACCUACUCCUUUAUACAAGUUUUAAGCAAAAAGAAUGAUUUAUUUCAUACUAGGAACUUACUACUCCCAAAAAUACAGCGUGAAUCAAUAAAAGAGACAACUAUAAAAUUCUUUCGUUUUGUCAAACUCUGAUAUUUUAUACCAUUUUUCUCUACUCUUUGUAAUUUUAUUAUUUUUCCUUCCGUUUUAUAUAUUAUAUUUGUGACUAAAUUUUCGAGAUUUUUUAUUUUGAAAUGUGACUUUAUAAAGCUUUCUGGUUCGAUGAUAAUCAGAUAAAGUUAUUUCUAAAGGGGUGAUUUAUGUAUUUCUAAAGAGUCGACGCUUUAAAAAAAAUACAUGAAAUGUGAAAAUUUAAGUACUCUAAGUACAGUAGCCGCGAAGAACAGAGAAUGUUAUGUUAGCAACAUAUCAGAAUAAAUUAAACUGAACAACUACAGACAUGUAUGUGAUUUAUUCUUCCUUUUUUUUUGUUAUUCUCCCUUUUUUCUUAUAAUAGUGUGUGUGCUGUGGCAUGCGGGCAGGUUUGGCGUUCUGUUAUGAAAUUGUGUACACAAUCUUCAUUUCACUUCGAUCAUACUUUUCUGUCUUCGUGAUGUUUCUGUGUAAAACUCUUGUCAUUACAUCUUUACACCCAAAUACCUCGUUUAAUAUAACCAUUUUUUUCUAGUCUUAAAUUUAGCGCACAUCAUUCUCAGUUCUGUAAAACCUUGUUAUCCAAUCCUUGCAUAUAAUUGCUGUGUGUGUUUUUGAAUUUUGUUAUUUUUUGUUAUUGUGUGUAUGCAGAAUUAUUUUUACUAAAUAAUUUCCCCUUAUAUUUUGUACCCUUUAUAGAAGUUACAGUUUAUCGGGAUAUUGUAUCCGUAAGCAAAAUUUACAUUUCAGGAUAAAGGUCAGAGGAUAACAGUUUAUAAGUUGAUUCUUGGAAGUAAUAUCCAUAGGAAGUUGUUCUACCUAGAUUUAGUUUUGAAGAGCAUGGAAACUGAAGGACCAAACGAAGGACUUCGAAAAGUAAGAGCAAAAUCGGUAAGAAAUGAAGUAGGAUCUAGAUUAGGUUAAUAAUAUAGAGAAUAAUAGACCCAUUCUACAAAUAAUGGACAAAAAAAUAAAGAAAAGAGAAAAUAGGAAAAUUAAUGAUUAAGAUAGAGAAUACCGAGGACAUAAACUAUUAAGACUAGAAAAUAUUGAAAAAAAAUAUAAAUAAUGGAGAAAUGGCUUAAAGAAUACACAAAUGAGCGACCCCAAAACAGACCCUCAUGAAAUAAAAGAUCAUAAUAACAGGUAAUCCGGGUGGGCAACAUCUCAACAGAAUAUCAUUCCGUUGAGAUGUUGCCCAUUCUGAUGACAUGUUGGCCAUUCUGAUGACAUGUGUGCAUACUUCAAUGACAUUUUGGACAUGUUGCCCAUCCCUAUGACAUGUUGCAUACUCCGAUGACAUGUUGCCCAUUCCAAUAACAUGUGCAUUCUUCAACGACAUGUUGGACAUGUUGCCCAUCCCGAUGACAGGAUAACCAUUCCAAUGAAAUGUUGCAUACUCCGAUGUCAAGAUACCCAUUCUGAUGACACAUGUGCAUACUACGAUGAUAUUUUGGACAUGUUGCCUAUCCCGAUGACAGGAUAACCAUUCCAUUGAAAUGUUACCUACUUCGAUGACAUUUUGGACAUGUUGCCCAUCCCGAUGACAUGUUGCAUACUCCGAUGACAUGUUGCCCAUCCCGAUAACAGAAUAACCAUUCCAAUAAAAUGUUGCAUACUCCGAUGACAAGAUACCCACCCAUUCUGAUGACACAUGUGCAUACUCCGAUGAAAUGUUGGACAUGUUGCCAACCCGGUGACAUUGUUGCCCGUUCUAUUGUAAACUAUGCGCUAUUUUCCAUUUGGGUAAAGAGACAGUUAGUCUGAUUUCUUGUGAGGGAAUAGCGCCACGUUUAUCGCAUAAAAAGAAGUUAAGCCCUUUGCAACAUAUGAGUGUCUGAUACAGAUUUUGAUCAUAUACCCAUUCUUCUUUUAUUCAUCACCUGAUUGACCCACUGAUAAUGCAUGAACUUUUUUCCACUGGAAAUCAGACAAAAAAAAUCAUUCUGACUUGAACAAUAUUUACAUUGACAGCCGUAUGCUAUAGAAGUUUGGUAAAAGUACGUAUUGAAUGCCACGAGGACCAAUCUGCAAAGAUGUCUAGCUUUCCUUGAUGAUGACCGAUUAUUUUUUUUUUAAUUUUCACGAAAGAAAUCAGAUUAUAUAUUCAGGUUCAAUGAUUUAUAUUUUAUCAUGCGGCAAACUAUUAUAUUUACAUUAAUACUUAUGUGUGGUUAUUAUUGGGAAAUAUAAAGAAAGAAGACAGCAACCAAAAUUUUAAAGACAGUCAUUUGUAGAACAUUUCAAUAUCAAAACAUUUUUUUUUAUUAUCUUCACGAACCUCAAUUUUCAGAGAGUCUGCUUAAAACUGUCAAAGUGUUAUUAAAUAUUUAUUCAUGUCCUCUUAUAGACCAUUUUUAUCCUGAUAUAUAUUUACCAAAAGUAAUUUGUAUGUAUGCACGAUGAUCUCUCCGUGAAUGGAGCACCCCUCUAUAGCUGCGAGGCUACAGUUGAUUCAAUGAACAAUCCCAAUCGGGAUUAAAGGAGAUUUGUAUUGACGAAUUGUACCAGUUAUGUUGACUGAUAUAUUGUCUGAUAGAUAUGAUAUAUCAGUAUUUUGUUCUAGGCUCUCCGAGUUCACCCCCCUCUUCCUCUAAAAAAGAAACAAACAAUUGAUUAUAUAUUAAAAUGAUUCGUAAGGUACAAUUUAUCAUACGGCACUAAGCUAUAUUUAAAGCAGGAUUGACAGUAAAUUGGUUUAAUGAUAUAACUUAGGUGAUGAUUAACUACACCAGAGACAUAUAAUGUCUCUGACUACACUUAUAACAAAAUAUAUAUUUACUGGAUCAUGGCGGGCGGAAGUGUAUUAUUUGAAAACUUUUAAAUGAGGUUGACACGAAGCACAUAAACAUACAUAUAAAUUAGGCCUGUAUCGCUGAAAUGAUCUUUUUGUUUCAAAAUUAUUAACUUGACACCUUCGUUUUGUGUGGGAAACCUGAGAGAUUUUUCAAAACGUUCGAUUUAUAUAAUCCGGAAAUUCAGCUCCGUGAAAUUUUGAUAGAGUUCUCUAUUUGAUAUUUUCUCCCAAAAUUAGGUCAUCGUAUAUCGCCAGCUGGACAUUUAUCAUUUCUUUUCAUUUGUAAGCACAAGGAUUUGGUAAGCAUUAGUAUAUAUAUAUGCAAACAUUUCUAGCCGUCAGUGAAAUUUGUUCUUAGUGGACAGGCCCGUAGCCAGGAAUUUCCAAGGGGGGGUUCGUUGGACUCAUGAACUCGACUUUAACAGUCACAAUUUGAACAAAAAGUUGACUUUAACAGUGCUUAUUUGAUUUCAAGGGGGGGGGGGGGUCGUCCGAACCCCCCCUGGCUACGGGUAUGGUGGACCAUUGGCAUAACCUGUCUCUUGACUGUCAGAUUUAACAGGUGAAGGCAAGGACUCCAAGCCCAGGUCGGAAUGCUUUUUUAAUAUAUGUUUUCAGUCGGAUUUAAUAAUGAAAACUGGAACCUUACGCGAGGAGAAAUUCUCAUUAAGUAGAGGGGUAUCUAGAUGUUAAACUUAGGGAACAGUCAUUGUUUAUCAGCUGAAGGGUAUGUUCAAAUUUUUCAAAAAAAAAAAAAAACACUUUAUGAACCACAUAAUGACCCCACUCCCCUUACCACACAGCUUCAAAACUUUGACCCCAAAUAAAAAUCCCUAUCGAUUGUAAGAAGAAAUUCUCACUAUAGUAGGACAUUUCCCAGAUCCCAGAUAAGGGGUCUGUAGAAGCUAAACUUAAUAUAGUUAUGUUCUGGAGAGCAACAAAAACAGGGUGCAAGAGGAUUAGAUCUGAAGACAAAGGUACAGAGGUAGUACAUAUAGGUAUAAAGUUGAAAGGAAAGGGGAUUAUUCUUUGACUUUUUGGGGAGGAUGAUUUUGAAAAUGAAUAAUCAUAAUAUCCACAUGUAUGUCUACUGAAUAAAAUAAGCAUAACAGAUGAAAAUGAAUAUUCAAUUUGGAAAAAUUACUUCUGGCCCCCCAAAUUAUCAAAUGGUCAUCUAAGCCAAAUAAUUAUGACGUCUUGACCAUGUUGAAAGGAUAUUUUAUUUUUUUCCUGCGACACAUUCCUUUGGACUAAUGGUUAUCUAAUUAUUUGUCAAUUUGUUAGCUAUUUAUUUUUUUUCUGUGACACCUUGCUUUGGACUACAUGGAAUAAUGGUCAUCUAUUUAUUUGUCAAUUUGUUAUACCUUGCAUAAAUGGGGAGACCUGCAAUUACUUCACAAUUAAUAGUCUGUUUUGAAACAUUUCACAGUACUUGCAUUUGUUGAAUCAGAUGAAUUACUAGGCAUAGUUUUAGUUGUACAUGAGUACUGUCACGAGACUUUGACUCCAUAAUGGAUGACUGGGAGAGUUAAAUAGAUUAGCUUCUGCAUCUGACAUUUCUGAUACAUCCAUUUCAUUGGAAUGUCUUUUUUUGGAAAGUAAACUACAUAAAACUCUGUAUAAAAUCAUCAAUACCUCUCUCUCUCUAUCUUCAUGUACAUUGUAUCUAGAUUUUUUGUAUAUGUUUACAUUUAUUAUUGAUUAGUGGUGAUGGUAAAUAGACACUCACAAGUCUAAGAUACAAUUUAAUAGUUCUGAAUGUUUUUUCAUCAUGUUCAUCAGUUAACUGAAAUUAAGUGGAGAUAUGUUCUUAUUUCCAACAGAGAGGCAUGCACUCAACCUAUAUCAAUUUGUGCAUGAAGCGAUUGAUAGUUGAUAGAUACUGAAUGCUUUUACAACAAAUUUGUGAAAGUUUUGACCUGUGUAUAUAUACUUAAAAUACAAUAAUAAAAUUCAUGUCUUUCAGGACUUCUGAUCCAACCAUGUAGUAUGGCAUGUUAUUAAGAUGUGGGUUUGGUCGAUGGAUGUUCAUGAAGGACCUGUAGUACAAAGUAUAUCACUGGAUUGAGCUCUUUGUCUAAGUGUAUUAUGAAAGUGCUUAGCUUUGAUCUCAGUUCAUUGUUAUGCAAUUCAUUCAUUGGGAAAUAAAGAUUUGACAGACAACUCUCAUGUACGUACAGUAGUAUCCAUUCUAUGUACAAUGUAAGUAAUAGGGAGAUACAUGUACAUUGUAAUAGCAUUUUAUUUAGAUUUAAAUCAAACAUUUUUUGUCCAUUAGCCAAAUAAUCCAAAUUUAAAAAAAAACACAAAUUUACCAAACAACGCUACUCUUGCUACUAGCAAAUGAGCAAUAUGAUGCAAGAUUGUUAUGUUACACUUUAUUUUUGUACAUCUAUACUGCCAACAUGACGCCUUAGUCCUGAGUGUAAAUGGUCAUUCAGUAUGUUAAAAAAAAGACCAAAAUUUAUAAGGCCUAUUUGGCCUAAUUGAAUUAAAAAACUAUAUUUCAUUGUUCAUGUUCAACAUUUAUCAUUCAUUUGUUUAUUUUUUAAUUUGUGUGAAUUAACAGCAAUUAUUAAUUACAUUGUACUACAAUAUACUUUUAUACCACAACAAAACUGCCUUACUGUAUUGGUAUUACUUAUAGUUGUAUCCAUAUAACAAAAUAAAUUGAAAAGAGAAUAUUUUUGCAAAACCUUUUUCCUAUUGAAUACUAUAACUUUUUAGAUCUUUAGACAUAUUAAGUAGAUGUUCAUAUCCACUUGAAAUUUUAUCAGAUAACUUCUGUAGCAGUUAUGAGUCUUUGAAGCAUGCUCACAAAGGUUCUUGCUUUAACCUGCUUUGUAGGAAAUAUUUUCAAAUAAUUAAUAUAAAAUAACACAGAAGUUUACUCUCUAGCUCAUCUAGCCCCAAGCAUCAUGUCAGGCAUUGUCAUUACUAUUGUCUUCUAAUCUGAGUAAAUUAAUUACUAAAAACAAUUAAAUGUCUUCUAAUCUGAGAAACAAUUUCGACAUUUAAACGAAAUCUUUUACUUAUGAUAAUGAUGAUCCUCCACAAAUUAAUAUAAAAAGAACCAUACAAAUAGUAAGCAAAUACAUGUUCUCAGAUAUCAUCUCCCAUAUAAAAAAAAAUUACAUCAUAAAAUAAUGAACCUGUUAUGUGUUCCUCUCCUAGCUUCAAAAUUUAUCCAAAAUCAAAGAUGUGGAACAUAUUCUAUCAUAAUCAUUUGGUAAUUAAUGCAAUAAGUGUCUCUUCCAUGCCCGUCUUGAACAUAGAAAACUAAAUAUUUAAUAAACAACUCUCCUAAUGCUCAGGUUGGUUGUCAAAUUGUGCAAGACAGUUAAUAAUAUAGAACCCUUUGGGAAAAACAUGGAACUUCUUUUGUCAUACAAAACAGUGUCAAACAUCCAAACAUUCUAUCCACACUGAUCUGUGUCCACACUUGUAUUUGUUGUAAAAUUUCUUUUAUUUUCAUACCAACUUGAAUCCAUUCUUUUCAGGCGCUGAAAUCAUUCACUAUAGGACGUCAAGAUACAUAUACCGACUAAGAAGUUUGCCAUGCCAAUAACUGAGGGUCGAGAUAAAGUUUACAGAAUAGAUAAUAAUGGACCAAGAGUAAAGAAUCGGACCAUAAAAUAAAUAAUGGAGAAUAAUGG
rnacentral:lncRNA from 1 species